GAUUUGCAAAACUAGCCUUUUUU
rnacentral:snRNA from 1 species